CCUACGGGUGGCAGCAGUGAGGAAUAUUGGUCAAUGGGCGAGAGCCUGAACCAGCCAAGUCGCGUGAAGGAUGACGGCCCUACGGGUUGUAAACUUCUUUUGUCAGGGAGCAAUUGAGUCCACGUGUGGUCUUAGCGAGAGUACCUGAAGAAAAAGCAUCGGCUAACUCCGUGCCAGCAGCCGCGGUAAUACGGAGGAUGCGAGCGUUAUCCGGAUUUACUGGGUGUAAAGGGAGCGUAGACGGCGAUGCAAGCCAGAUGUGAAGGCCCGGGGAUCAACCCCGGGACUGCAUUUGGAACUGUAUAGCUGGAGUGUCGGAGAGGCAGGCGGAAUUCCUAGUGUAGCGGUGAAAUGCGUAGAUAUUAGGAGGAACACCAGUGGCGAAGGCGGCCUGCUGGACGAUGACUGACGUUGAGGCUCGAAAGCGUGGGGAGCAAACAGGAUUAGAUACCCGAGUAGUC
rnacentral:rRNA from 1 species